GGGACUCAUGAGAGUCAUCGGUGUUGUGUGAGGCAGCUGUUUGUUGAUUUUCUGGACCAAAUAAUGUUCCACCGUGUGACUGGACAUACCUUAGUCUAUCCAUUCUACCACUGAUGAGCAUGUCCCACACUUACAGGGAAAGCAUCACCCGAAAGUGAGAAUGCCUAGAGGCAGGAAUCAUGGAGGCUUCCUUAACCGUCUGUCUGCAACAGCAGGUGCUAGAGAUGACACUGCAGAGUAGAGAACAAAGGAAUCUUAGUAAUUGUUCAAUCCAAUCUCCACACUUUAAAGAUGAAGAAACUGGUAUUGAGAAAAAUACACAGCUUAUCCAAGGUUGCACUGCUGGUUGGUAGCUGAGAUGAAUUUAGAACCCACAUCUGAUGACUACACCAUAUUGCUCCCAGUUUUCCUGUCUGUUCCACAUGUAAAAGUCUGACUCUUCACUUCUCCUUUGAGUAUAUAGACUUUUAACAUUUUUGUAUGUCAAGAUGGACUUUUCCUCAUACCCAGCCCCUGCCUUUUCUC
rnacentral:lncRNA from 1 species